rnacentral:rRNA from 1 species
CUCGGGUGACGAGCGGCGGACGGGUGAGUAAUGUCUGGGAAACUGCCUGAUGGAGGGGGAUAACUACUGGAAACGGUAGCUAAUACCGCAUAACGUCGCAAGACCAAAGUGGGGGACCUUCGGGCCUCAUGCCAUCAGAUGUGCCCAGAUGGGAUUAGCUAGUAGGUGGGGUAACGGCUCACCUAGGCGACGAUCCCUAGCUGGUCUGAGAGGAUGACCAGCCACACUGGAACUGAGACACGGUCCAGACUCCUACGGGAGGCAGCAGUGGGGAAUAUUGCACAAUGGGCGCAAGCCUGAUGCAGCCAUGCCGCGUGUGUGAAGAAGGCCUUCGGGUUGUAAAGCACUUUCAGCGGGGAGGAAGGCGAUAAGGUUAAUAACCUUGGCGAUUGACGUUACCCGCAGAAGAAGCACCGGCUAACUCCGUGCCAGCAGCCGCGGUAAUACGGAGGGUGCAAGCGUUAAUCGGAAUUACUGGGCGUAAAGCGCACGCAGGCGGUCUGUCAAGUCGGAUGUGAAAUCCCCGGGCUCAACCUGGGAACUGCAUUCGAAACUGGCAGGCUAGAGUCUUGUAGAGGGGGGUAGAAUUCCAGGUGUAGCGGUGAAAUGCGUAGAGAUCUGGAGGAAUACCGGUGGCGAAGGCGGCCCCCUGGACAAAGACUGACGCUCAGGUGCGAAAGCGUGGGGAGCAAACAGGAUUAGAUACCCUGGUAGUCCACGCCGUAAACGAUGUCGAUUUGGAGGUUGUGCCCUUGAGGCGUGGCUUCCGGAGCUAACGCGUUAAAUCGACCGCCUGGGGAGUACGGCCGCAAGGUUAAAACUCAAAUGAAUUGACGGGGGCCCGCACAAGCGGUGGAGCAUGUGGUUUAAUUCGAUGCAACGCGAAGAACCUUACCUGGUCUUGACAUCCACAGAACUUUCCAGAGAUGGAUUGGUGCCUUCGGGAACUGUGAGACAGGUGCUGCAUGGCUGUCGUCAGCUCGUGUUGUGAAAUGUUGGGUUAAGUCCCGCAACGAGCGCAACCCUUAUCCUUUGUUGCCAGCGGUUAGGCCGGGAACUCAAAGGAGACUGCCAGUGAUAAACUGGAGGAAGGUGGGGAUGACGUCAAGUCAUCAUGGCCCUUACGACCAGGGCUACACACGUGCUACAAUGGCAUAUACAAAGAGAAGCGACCUCGCGAGAGCAAGCGGACCUCAUAAAGUAUGUCGUAGUCCGGAUUGGAGUCUGCAACUCGACUCCAUGAAGUCGGAAUCGCUAGUAAUCGUAGAUCAGAAUGCUACGGUGAAUACGUUCCCGGGCCUUGUACACACCGCCCGUCACACCAUGGGAGUGGGUUGCAAAAGAAGUAGGUAGCUUAACCUUCGGGAGGG